AUACGUAGGUGGCGAGCGUUGUCCGGAUUUACUGGGUGUAAAGGGCGCGUAGGCGGGAUAGCAAGUCAGGUGUGAAAUCUAUGGGCUCAACCCAUAAACUGCACUUGAAACUGUUGUUCUUGAGUGUCGGAGAGGUAGAUGGAAUUCCUAGUGUAGCGGUGAAAUGCGUAGAUAUUAGGAGGAACACCAGUGGCGAAGGCGAUCUACUGGACGAUAACUGACGCUGAGGCGCGAAAGCGAGGGGAGCAAACAGGAUUAGAUACCCUGGUAGUCCACGCCAUAAACGAUGAAUACUAGGUGUGGGUGGGACUGACCCCAUCCGUGCCGCAGCUAACGCAAUAAGUAUUCCACCUGGGGAGUACGGCCGCAAGGCUGAAACUCAAAUGAAUUGACGGGG
rnacentral:rRNA from 1 species